UACAGAGGGGGCAAGCGUUGUUCGGAAUUACUGGGCGUAAAGCGCGUGUAGGCGGCAGCGCAAGUCGGGCGUGAAAUCCCACGGCUCAACCGUGGAAGUGCACUCGAAACUGCGCAGCUAGAGUCCUGGAGAGGAAGGUGGAAUGCUUGGUGUAGAGGUGAAAUUCGUAGAUAUCAAGCGGAACACCGGUGGCGAAGGCGGCCUUCUGGACAGUGACUGACGCUGAGACGCGAAAGCGUGGGGAGCAAACAGG
rnacentral:rRNA from 1 species